rnacentral:rRNA from 1 species
GACGAACGCUGGCGGCGUGCCUAAUACAUGCAAGUCGAACGCUUUUUCUUUCACCGGAGCUUGCUCCACCGAAAGAAAAAGAGUGGCGAACGGGUGAGUAACACGUGGGUAACCUGCCCAUCAGAAGGGGAUAACACUUGGAAACAGGUGCUAAUACCGUAUAACAAGUAAAACCGCAUGGUUUUACUUUGAAAGGCGCUUUUGCGUCACUGAUGGAUGGACCCGCGGUGCAUUAGCUAGUUGGUGAGGUAACGGCUCACCAAGGCAACGAUGCAUAGCCGACCUGAGAGGGUGAUCGGCCACAUUGGGACUGAGACACGGCCCAAACUCCUACGGGAGGCAGCAGUAGGAAAUCUUCGGCAAUGGACGAAAGUCUGACCGAGCAACGCCGCGUGAGUGAAGAAGGUUUUAGGAUCGUAAAACUCUGUUGUUAGAGAAGAACAAGGAUGAGAGUAAAAUGUUCAUCCCUUGACGGUAUCUAACCAGAAAGCCACGGCUAACUACGUGCCAGCAGCCGCGGUAAUACGUAGGUGGCAAGCGUUGUCCGGAUUUAUUGGGCGUAAAGCGAGCGCAGGCGGUUUCUUAAGUCUGAUGUGAAAGCCCCCGGCUCAACCGGGGAGGGUCAUUGGAAACUGGGAAACUUGAGUGCAGAAGAGGAGAGUGGAAUUCCAUGUGUAGCGGUGAAAUGCGUAGAUAUAUGGAGGAACACCAGUGGCGAAGGCGGCUCUCUGGUCUGUAACUGACGCUGAGGCUCGAAAGCGUGGGGAGCAAACAGG